rnacentral:rRNA from 1 species
CCUACGGGAGGCAGCAGUGAGGAAUAUUGGUCAAUGGGCGCGAGCCUGAACCAGCCAAGUCACGUGAGGGAAGACGGUCCUAUGGAUUGUAAACCUCUUUUGUCGGGGAGCAAAAGACGACACGCGUGGCGUUCCGAGAGUACCCGAAGAAAAAGCAUCGGCUAACUCCGUGCAAGCAGCCGCGGUAAUACGGAGGGGGCGAGGGUUAUCCGGUUUGAAUGGGUGGGAAGGGAGCGUAGACUGCCUUGCAAGUCAGGGGUGAAAGCACGGGGGCCAACCCAGGGACUGCCCUUGGAACUGCAUGGCUGGAGUUCGGUAGGGGCAGGCGGAAUUCCUGGUGUAGCGGUGAAAUGCGUAGAUAUCAGGAGGAACACCGAUUGCGAAGGCAGCUUACCAGGCUACUUCUGACGUUGAGGCACGAAAGCGUGGGGAGCAAACAGGAUUAGAUACCCGGGUAGUC